rnacentral:rRNA from 1 species
AUUGAAAGCUGGCGGCAGGCCUAACACAUGCAAGUCGAACGAGUGGCGGACGUUUGUGUAAUGUCUGGGAAUCUGCCUGAUGGAGGGGGAUAACUACUGGAAACGGUAGCUAAUACCGUAUACCAUCAGAUGUGUCCAGAUGGGAUUAGCUCGUUGGUGGGGUAACGGCUCACCAAGGGGACGAUCCCUAGCUGGUCUGAGAGGAGGACCCGCCACACUGGAACUGAGACACGGGCCAGACUCUUACGGGAGGCAGCAGUGGGGAAUAUUGCACAAUGGGCGCAAGCCGUAUGCAGCCAUGCCGCGUGAAUGAAGAAGGCCUUCGGGUUGUAAAGUACUUUCAGCGGGGAGGCGUUACCCGAAGAAGAAGCACCGGCUAACUCCGUGCCAGCAGCCGCGGUAAUAC